rnacentral:rRNA from 1 species
GACAGAGGGUGCAAACGUUGUUCGGAAUUACUGGGCGUAAAGCGAGUGUAGGCGGUCUCAUAAGUCGGGUGUGAAAGCCCCGGGCUCAACCCGGGAAGUGCACUCGAAACUGCGAGGCUAGAGUAUCGGAGAGGUUGGUGGAAUUCUCGGUGUAGAGGUGAAAUUCGUAGAUAUCGAGAGGAACACCGGUGGCGAAGGCGGCCAACUGGACGAAUACUGACGCUGAGACUCGAAAGCAUGGGGAUCAAACAGG